rnacentral:rRNA from 1 species
GGUUAAGCGACUAAGCGUACACGGUGGAUGCCCUGGCAGUCAGAGGCGAUGAAGGACGUGCUAAUCUGCGAUAAGCGUCGGUAAGGUGAUAUGAACCGUUAUAACCGGCGAUUUCCGAAUGGGGAAACCCAGUGUGAUUCGUCACACUAUCAUUAACUGAAUCCAUAGGUUAAUGAGGCGAACCGGGGGAACUGAAACAUCUAAGUACCCCGAGGAAAAGAAAUCAACCGAGAUUCCCCCAGUAGCGGCGAGCGAACGGGGAGGAGCCCAGAGCCUGAAUCAGUGUGUGUGUUAGUGGAAGCGUCUGGAAAGGCGCGCGAUACAGGGUGACAGCCCCGUACACAAAAAUACACAUAUUGUGAGCUCGAUGAGUAGGGCGGGACACGUGGUAUCCUGUCUGAAUAUGGGGGGACCAUCCUCCAAGGCUAAAUACU